rnacentral:rRNA from 1 species
UACCAGCACCCCGAGUGGUCGGGACGAUUAUUGGGCCUAAAGCAUCCGUAGCCGGUUUUACAAGUCCUCCGUUAAAUCCAGCUGCUUAACAGAUGGGCUGCGGAGGAUACUAUAAGACUAGGAGGCAGGAGAGGCAAGCGGUACUCAGUGGGUAGGGGUAAAAUCCGUUGAUCCAUUGAAGACCACCAGUGGCGAAGGCGGCGCCCUGGUCCGUUUCUGACGCUGAGACGCGAAAGCGCGGGGAGCGAACGGG